UGUUUAGGUUGUCCAGUUCAACAACUUCAUCCUCCGACCACCUCCAAUUGGUCCACCGGCACCAUCUUCUUCGUCUCAAUGUUGCCAUCACGCUUGAGGUCGUAGUUCAUCCAAUCGUCUAUUGUGGAGGAAGAAUCGAACGCCGAAAGCUUUUGAAGCUUUGGCUAUUCUUUGACUUUUUCCCAUGACUUCAACCACUGUUUGGGGUGUUUAUGCUGUUUAUUGUGGUCGAUAUACGAAAGACGAUCAACUCUUCGUGCUGUACGUGCUAGUAAAGGAAGUAUACAGCUGGUGAUAUAUCUUGCCCGUGCAAGUUGGUGCCAAGGUGGUGUUUGAGACUGAUUCAAAUUCAAAGUAUCAUCUAUCACUCCUAUAAAAGAUACUCUACAUCAAAAAGACGAGGAGGACCAGAGGACGUGAGCAGCAUAGCUGCGUGAGGAGGAUUGUGAAGAAGCAGAGGAUAGCAGCCGAGGAGAGGAAGAAAGAAAAGAAGAGGGUGAGACUUUCAUCAAUCUGCACCUUUCCUUUGCUGUUCUCAAAUGAUGCAGGCCUCCAUCGCCUCCAGCGAUACCGUAGAGUAUCAUAUCAUAUAUGCUCCGACACGGCAUGCCUUAGGGUGCCGAUAUUGUCAUUGAGUUCCUGCACAGCGUGCCGUAUCAUCUUCAAGCUCUGACAUGGCCUGCCUUAGGGGGCCGAUAUUGUCGUCGAUCUCCUGCACGCCGUGCCUUAGGGUGCCGUAUCAUUGUCAAGCUCCGGCGACGCCUUCGGGCACCAUCUUUGCCCUCAAAUUCCAGGGCGCAGGCCUUGGGCUUUCAAAUCCUAGUAGUAGGCCUCCCUAUAUUGUAGCUGCAACAAGCUUUACUCUCUCAA